rnacentral:rRNA from 1 species
UGGGGAAUAUUGCACAAUGGAGGGAACUCUGAUGCAGCGACGCCGCGUGAACGAAGAAGGCUUUCGAGUCGUAAAGUUCUUUUAUAUGGGAAGAUAAUGACGGUACCAUAAGAAGAAGCCCCGGCUAACUACGUGCCAGCAGCCGCGGUAAUACGGAGGGGGCUAGCGUUGUCCGGAAUCACUGGGCGUAAAGGGUUCGCAGGCGGAAAUGCAAGUCAGGUGUAAAAGGCAGUAGCUUAACUACUGUAAGCAUUUGAAACUGCAUAUCUUGAGAAGAGUAGAGGUAAGUGGAAUUUUUAGUGUAGCGGUGAAAUGCGUAGAUAUUAAAAAGAAUACCGGUGGCGAAGGCGACUUACUGGGCUCAUUCUGACGCUGAGGAACGAAAGCGUGGGUAGCAAACAGG